GAUGAAGAACGUAGCGAAAUGCGAUACGUAAUGUGAAUUGCAGAAUUCAGUGAAUCAUCGAGUCUUUGAACGCACAUUGCGCCCUCUGGUAUUCCGGAGGGCAUGCCUGUCCGAGCGUCAUUGCUGCCCUCAAGCACGGCUUGUGUGUUGGGCCCCGCCCCCCGAUCCCGGGGGGCGGGCCCGAAAGGCAGCGGCGGCACCGCGUCCGGUCCUCGAGCGUAUGGGGCUUUGUCACCCGCUCUGUAGGCCCGGCCGGCGCCUGCCGAUCAACCAAACUUUUUUCCAGGCUGACCUCGGAUCAGGUAGGGAUACCCGCUGAACUUAAGCAUAUCAAUAAGCGGAGGA
rnacentral:misc_RNA from 1 species